AUUUCUUGGGUUCAGUCUGGUUCAGUUGUGUGGCUUGGUAGGUGCUGACAGAAGUGACUGUGUUUGUUGCUUCACUUGGCCUAUAACUGUGGCUGGAGCCAUGGGGUUUCUUUUGGGAUGGUUGCUGUUGUCCUUGCUAGCUAUUGGAAGACAAACAAAUGCUGAUGGUAUUGGAUCUGCUGGGAAGUAUGGAGAUAAUGAAGUGCCAGUUGGAGGCUAUCGACCAGAUUCAAGUGGCUUCAACACUGGAGAUGGAUCUUCAUGGAGCAAUGGACUACUUCCUAGUGGUG